rnacentral:rRNA from 1 species
UACGUAGGGUGCAAGCGUUAAUCGGAAUCACUGGGCGUAAAGCGCACGUAGGCGGCUCCUUAGGUCGGGGGUGAAAUCCUGGAGCUCAACUCCAGAACUGCCUUCGAUACUGAGGAUCUCGAGUCCGGGAGAGGUGAGUGGAACUGCGAGUGUAGAGGUGAAAUUCGUAGAUAUUCGCAAGAACACCAGUGGCGAAGGCGGCUCACUGGCCCGGUACUGACGCUGAGGUGCGAAAGCGUGGGGAGCAAACAGG